ensembl:lncRNA
GUCGCACGGUGCCGCCCUGGCAUCUAAUCAGGGAGCCAGAUGAAGGCAGCAAUCUGUCUCCUUAAAAUAUGCAGAUUUGAUUCGAUUUAUUUAAUUUUUUUUUCCCCUUCCAGUGCUGCAGAACCGUGUUGGAAGGCGCUCGUCGAGAGGCUGCGCCAGGAGCAAUCGCGAGGGACGGAACGAGCGCUUCCCUCGUUAGCAGCGUUUAAUUGCCGGGAGCCGGGGCGCUCCUCGGCGCCCGCCGCGGGAUUUGGGAUGGGCCUGAGGGCCUCCCCACCUUCCACAUGGGAUUGUUCCUCACCUUCCAAAUAAAAUCCAUCCCCACCUUCCACAGGGGAUUGCUCCUCACCUUCCAAAUAAAAUCCAUCCNCCUUCCACAUGGGAUUGUUCCUCACCUUCCAAAUAAAAUCCAUCCCCACCUUCCACAGGGGAUUGCUCCUCACCUUCCAAAUAAAAUCCAUCCCCCAUCUUCUACGCAGAAUUGCUGCUCACCUUCCACAUGGGAUUGUUUCUCACCUUCCAAAUAAAAUCCAUCCCCACCUUCCACAGGGGACUGCUCCUCACCUUCCAAAUAAAAUCCAUCCCCACCUUCCACAGGGGAUUGCUCCUCACCUUCCACAUGGGAUUGCUCCUCACCCUCCACCCUGGAGCUUUCCUCACCUUCCACCCUGGAGCUUUCCUCAACUUCCACAUGGGAUUGUUCCUCACCUUCCAAAUAAAAUCCAUCCCCAUCUUCCACGUGGGAUUGCUCCUCAUGCUCCACACUGGAGCUUUCCUCAACUUCCACAUGGGAUUGCUCCUCACCUUUCACAUAAAAUCCAUCCCCAUCUUCCACGUGGGAUUGCUCCUCACCUUCCACAUUGGAGCUUUCCUCACCUUCCACACCAGACUCUUCCUCACUUCCAGAAGGAUCAUUCCCAACCUUCCACACUGGACCGACCCUUCCUCACCUUCCCACCCAACCCCUUCCCCAUAGACUCCAAAAAUAUCUCAUGGGGCAACCCAUGGCAGGGCACGUGGGAUUGCUCCUCAAGUUCCACCUCCCACAUGGGAUUGUCCCUCAUUUUCCACAUCAGACCCUUCCUCACCGAAUCAUUCCUCACCUUCCACAUCAAACUGCUCCUCAACUUCCACACUGGAGCAUUCCCCACCUUCCACAAGGGAUCGUUCCUCACUUUCCACACUGGACUAUUCUUCAUCUUCCACAUCAGAACAAUCCUCACCUUCCAGAAUAAUCAUUCCCAACCUUCCACACCAGACCCUUCCUCACCUUCCACAUCAGAUCAUUCCUCACUUUCUACAAGGACCACUCCCAACUUUCCACCCCAGAACAUUCCUCACCUUCUACAACAACCAUUCCCAACCUUCCACACCAGAUCCUUCCUCACCUUCCAGAAUGAUCAUUCCCAACUUUCCACACCAGAACAUUCCUCACCUUCCAGAAGGAUCAUUCCCAACCUCCCACACUGGACCGACCCUUCCUCACCUUCCCACCCAACCCCUUUCCCACAGACUCCAAAAACGGAGCGAUCCACGGCACGGCAGGACAACGCUGCCCGUCAACACUCCAGAAGCAAACAUGGAAUUCGCCGUCACGUCCCAUGCAAGAAUUCCGGGUUUAAUUCCUCCCAUUUUGAGGCUGGAAUCAACCCCACACCGACCUCCACCGGAUUUUGUUCCCUGCCACAUGACAAUUCCUCCUCCUACUCCGCGCUGUUGAUUUUGGCAUCCCAGCCAGCCCGGUGGCUGCACGGCACGGAUCGCGUUCCCGUCGCCAUCGGGAGGAGACGCGCCGUAUCCACGAUAAAACUUGGAUACAAGGAGCUCCCGGCUGCUCCACACUUCUCCUUCCUUCAGAACACCCCCAAAUUUUAAGUUCUUCCACGGAGGGAUUGCGUUGUAUUUUUCCUCAAGGAAAACCGGAUGGAUAUCCGUGGACAGGAGUCGCUUUCCCACC